rnacentral:rRNA from 1 species
UACGGGGGGGGCAAGCGUUUGUUCGGAAUUACUGGGCGUAAAGGGCUCGUAGGCGGCCAACUAAGUCAGACGUGAAAUCCCUCGGCUUAACCGGGGGAACUGCGUCUGAUACUGGAUGGCUCGAGUUUUGGGAGAGGGAUGCGGAAUUCCAGGUGUAGCGGUGAAAUGCGUAGAUAUUCGGAAGAACACCGGUGGCGAAGGCGACCUUCUGGGCCGCAACUGACGCUGAGGCACGAAAGCCUGGGGAGCGAACGGG